UACGUAGGGUGCGAGCGUUGUCCGGAAUUAUUGGGCGUAAAGGGCUCGUAGGCGGUUUGUCGCGUCGGGAGUGAAAACCCAGGGCUUAACUCUGGGCUUGCUUUCGAUACGGGCAGACUAGAGGCAUGCAGGGGAGAACGGAAUUCCUGGUGUAGCGGUGAAAUGCGCAGAUAUCAGGAGGAACACCGGUGGCGAAGGCGGUUCUCUGGGCAUGUCCUGACGCUGAGGAGCGAAAGCGUGGGGAGCAAACAGG
rnacentral:rRNA from 1 species